UUACUUAUUUAUUUGAAUAGGGACAAUGCACAUUAAUGAACAUCAGUAUAAAAACAAAUGUAAAUAUGCCGGAUUAUAGCUACAAAGCUAGUUUUCAUCCAUAGUCCCUAGGCAGGCAAAUACAUAAACAACACAAGGGAAUGUUAAAAGUCUAGUGUUUUGUUGAGCACUGG